rnacentral:snoRNA from 1 species
AUCUCAUGGUGAGUGCAUUUCAUAAGCUUAUCCUUAAAUCUCCCCCAUGCUUCAUACUAAGGUUCCCCAUGAAAUUAACAAAAAUUUAUGAUUUU